UUUUUAGUGUAAGUACCUCCCAUGAAAUAUUUGGGACGUACUUAUAGUAAAA
rfam:Callithrix jacchus chromosome 4, whole genome shotgun sequence